GACAUUUACGUCGUUUUAUACUUGACGGUGUUUGGUUGAAUCUGGAAUCCAACUACCAAGAUGUGCUAUCUCCCGACUCUUCUCCACUACUCCAUUCCUGGCCGAUGCCGCGGAAGAGGUUGGAAUGGCCGUGGCCAUGCCACCACUCGACGUCACGCCGUGCCAGCCACACUGGCUCCGAGCGGCCCCUGAAGCCGGCCGUGGAGAACUCGACGGUUCCCACCGGCUGGGACCACCUCGCGUCAGUGGCGACUGACGGGAGGCCGUCGAGAAGAACUGCGCGCUCCUCGAUCAAUUCGAUCUGGCACCUAUGUCCCCAGCCGAGCUCCUGCCGUCAAUACCGCCGCCGCAAUCUCAGCACCGUCGAGAUCCAGCUGUGUGCCGCCCUGUAGGCCGCACUAUUGAGCUGCAGGCCUACCCGCAUCGUAGAGGGUAUGGGAGGGCAGUGGCCGCCGCGUCGUCGAGCCGCAUGCCGACGCGUGCCAGGGAAGGAGAGGGCAGCGGUUGCCGCCGCGAAGGUCGUCAAGGUCCAGCCGUGCACCAUGCUAGAUGACGCGCCAUCGAGCUUCAGGCCGCCCAGCGUCAGCAAGCUCUUCUCCUGCGUGAACUGGAUCACUGCGGUCUGCUCUCUGCUGGUGCCCCCGUAUGAUUUGGUUGCUGCUACUGCGCUUGCUGGUUCUUGUACAAUAUUUUAACCAUGUCGGGCAUUUUUCGACAGAGAGUUAUUUGGCUAAAACGACAGUUAUAAUGGACAUGGAAAACAAAAAUGAAGAAGCCAUGUUGAUGGUGUGCCCAUCUGAUUAUAUGUAUAUCAAUUCUCUAUCCAUCCUGUGUGCUCCUUUGUAUUUAAACAUUGAUUAAUCUUUGCACCUACACUUGUAUAGCAGCCCAUUGAUAUUUGCUUUCAACCAUACUCACACACCUAGCUUUCACCAGGCAUUUAUUCAUAUACACUACCCUCACAUGUAAGUACUUUGUUGAUGCGGGGAAAUCCAAUGGAUAUUUGCUACGACAAACAAAUUUAAAAAGCGGAAGCCUUCGAGAAAAUGAAGUGCCAACUAUGCCCCCUCAUAGGUUAUGUAAUUGCUUAUUUAAACCUUAUUUACUUAUUCUGGGUACAUAAGCUAGCUAUAUGAAGUAUAUUUCUUAGAGAACAACUUGUUGCUUUACAGACUACAGUAGACUUGCCGCUUUUCUCUGCAUCUGAAAUGACUUUCGGUAUCUUACUUUUAUGAUCAUAGGGUCCAAUCACUAAGGCGCAUGAUACUCUGAGACAGAGCAAACUGAAAGAUUUAAGAGGAGCUUCAUAAAUGCAGUGAACUUGAAAAGGUUGCUGAACUUUUGAAGGACGUUCAAGUCUACAAAGUUGAACCUGUCAAAAAAUUAGUGAUGAUACAUAAGGGAUAUGGAUGAGCCAUACAGUUACAUGUGCCUCUGGAAUUGUGAGACCAACAGAAGAUUGAUGAUAUCUACUGCCAAACUGGCCUACAUGGCAUGCCAUCCAUUUCGUUAGAGAAUUUUAGUACUUCAAUGCUGGAAAAUAUUGUACAACAUGAUCUGUAAGUAGAGCUUAGUAAGCGGGAUAUUCACUUUGGCUUAUAGGAGCAUUUGCUCCCAUUGUGUGAAUCUACAUUUCGAAGUGUCAAAAAAUUCUAAACUAAAAUUUUUCA